UGAAAUACAGAAUUUCUAUGACUAGGAUUUAUCAAAUUCGUGGUCUUUUUUAAGACCACGCGGUCGAACUAAAAGUGCAGGUACCAAUGUGGAUAAUUUGAGGAAUACUUACAAAAUUCCCCAAACAAUUGCUUAUCGUAUUCCCCACUUCAAAAAAAGUGUAUUGAGAAACAAAAGAGAUUGAGUAACAAAGAUUAUGAUAAGCUCAAGAUAAGCUGGAUGGUAUAUAAUGGUCCGGCAAGUGAAAUGUUUAGUUAGUACAGUAACAACCAUGGCCCAUAUCCAGAACCUCCUAAUCUUUGUGGCUCUGUGCUACCUAGCCGUGUCUUUCACGGAAGCUUCCGAAGGAGGACUACACUUACACAUUGGAGGAUCUAUGGAGAUGCCACGCCAAAAGCGUCAUAAUCAUAACCAUAAUCACAAGGACAAUGACGAUUCUGACGUCGAAUGGAUCGCCUGUGACUACAGCUUGCGACCACGGAUGCGUUGUCACGACUGCCACACAAGACUGAUCUGCAAGAAGGUUGGAGGACUGCUCCUUCACUGCCCGACCGUAGGCGCACCCUACUGCAACAACGGACUGUGUUCACCAGAACCUAGUACUGAAUGUGCCUAAGUUAUGGAUUCUACCAAAUACUGUUCAUGAUUUUGAUGAAUAAAUGACUGAUAUUUUUAUAUA